UACGAGGGGGGCAAGUGUUGUUCGGAAUCACUGGGCGUAAAGGGAGCGUAGGCGGAUGUUUAAGUUGGAUGUUUAAAACCGGGGCCCAACCUCGGAGCGGCAUCCAAAACUGGGCAUCUUGAAUAGGUCAGAGGCUGGUGGAAUUGGAGGUGUAGCGGUGGAAUGCGUAGAGAUCUCCAAGAACACCUAUUGCGAAGGCAGCCAGCUGGGACCAUAUUGACGCUGAGGCUCGAAAGCAUGGGGAGCAAACAGG
rnacentral:rRNA from 1 species